rnacentral:rRNA from 1 species
GAGUUUGAUCCUGGCUCAGGACGAACGCUGGCGGCGUGCUUAACACAUGCAAGUCGAACGGAAAGGCCCCGCUCGCGGGGUACUCGAGUGGCGAACGGGUGAGUAACACGUGGGUGAUCUGCCCUGCACUUCGGGAUAAGCCUGGGAAACUGGGUCUAAUACCGGAUAUGACCUCCCUUUAGUGUGGGGGGUGGAAAGAUUUAUCGGUGCAGGAUGAGCCCGCGGCCAAUCAGCUUGUUGGUGGGGUAAUGGCCUACCAAGGCGUCGACGGGUAGCCGGCCUGAGAGGGUGGACGGCCACAUUGGGACUGAGAUACGGCCCAGACUCCUACGGGAGGCAGCAGUGGGGAAUAUUGCACAAUGGGCGGAAGCCUGAUGCAGCGACGCCGCGUGGGGGAUGACGGCCUUCGGGUUGUAAACCUCUUCCGACAGGGACGAAGUGAAAAUGACGGUACCUGUAUAAGAAGCACCGGCUAACUACGUGCCAGCAGCCGCGGUAAUACGUAGGGUGCGAGCGUUGUCCGGAAUUACUGGGCGUAAAGAGCUCGUAGGUGGUUUGUCACGUCGUCUGUGANAUUCCGGGGCUUAACCUCGGGCGUGCAGGCGAUACGGGCAAUACUUGAGUGCUGUAGGGGAGACUGGAAUCCUGGUUAGCGGUGAAAUGCGCAGAUAUCAGGAGGAACACCAAUGGCGAAAGCAGGUCUCUGGGCAGUACUGACGCUGAGGAGCGAAAGCAUGGGUAGCGAACAGGAUUAGAUACCCUGGUAGUCCAUGCCGUAAACGGUGGGCGCUAGGUGUAGGGGACUUCCACGUUCUCUGUGCCGUAGCUAACGCAUUAAGCGCCCCGCCUGGGGAGUACGGCCGCAAGGCUAAAACUCAAAGGAAUUGACGGGGGCCCGCACAAGCGGCGGAGCAUGUGGAUUAAUUCGAUGCAACGCGAAGAACCUUACCUGGGCUUGACAUACACCGGACCGGCGUAGAGAUACGUCUUCCCUUGUGGCCGGUGUACAGGUGGUGCAUGGUUGUCGUCAGCUCGUGUCGUGAGAUGUUGGGUUAAGUCCCGCAACGAGCGCAACCCUUGUCUUAUGUUGCCAGCACGUGAUGGUGGGGACUCAUGAGAGACUGCCGGGGUCAACUCGGAGGAAGGUGGGGAUGACGUCAAAUCAUCAUGCCCCUUAUGUCCAGGGCUUCACACAUGCUACAAUGGUCGGUACAGCAGGUCGCGAACUUGUGAGAGUAAGCCAAUCCUUCAAAGCCGGCCUCAGUUCGGAUUGGGGUCUGCAACUCGACCCCAUGAAGUCGGAGUCGCUAGUAAUCGCAGAUCAGCAACGCUGCGGUGAAUACGUUCCCGGGCCUUGUACACAC